rfam:Oryza sativa Japonica Group DNA, chromosome 3, cultivar: Nipponbare, complete sequence.
AAUAAGUGAAGUUUUGCACUAUUCACGUUCAACGUUUGACCGUUCGUCUUAUUUGAAAAAUUUUUUAGGAUUAGUAUUUUUAUUGCUAUUAGAUGAUAAAACAUGAAUAGUACUUUAUGUGUGACUAAAUAUUUUUAAUUUUUUCACAAAUUUUUCAAAUAAGACGGACAGUCAAACGUUGGGCACGGAUAUCCACGGCUGCACUUAUU